rnacentral:rRNA from 1 species
GACGAACGCUGGCGGCGUGCUUAACACAUGCAAGUCGAACGGAAAGGCCCUGCUUUUGUGGGGUGCUCGAGUGGCGAACGGGUGAGUAACACGUGAGUAACCUGCCCUUGACUUUGGGAUAACUUCAGGAAACUGGGGCUAAUACCGGAUAGGAGCUCCUGCUGCAUGGUGGGGGGUGGAAAGUUUCGGCGGUUGGGGCUGGACUCGCGGCUUACCAGCUUGUUGGUGGGGUAGUGGCUUACCAAGGCUUUGACGGGUAGCCGGCUUGAGAGGGUGAACGGCGACAUUGGGACUGCGAUACGGCGCAGACUCCAACGGGAGGCAGCAGUGGGGAAUAUGGCACAAUGGGCAGGAGCCUGAUGCAGCGACGCCGCGUGCGGGAUGACGGCCUUCGGGUUGUGAACCGCUUUAGCCUGUGACGAAGCGUGAGUGACGGUAAUGGGUAAAGAAGCACCGGCUAACUACGUG